rnacentral:rRNA from 1 species
AUGUCUACGCAGAGAGUUUUCCGGACACAUAUAUCAAGUCCAACAAACUAUACCGUGAAAUGUGUUGAAACUGGUUGUCCUGGGAAGGUGCACGGGCACGUGCCGAAGUAUGACAUCCACUGGGUUGUCACCAAUGUCGUCCCGCAUAAUUGUGUGAGGAAAAACUUGCUGGUGAAGCAUUCUAACCUGACUUCAACUCUCAUUGCGCAACUCAUGUAUAUUGAGAUAGUAGAAAAGAAAGAUAUGGAAGCAAAACACAUCCAGACAGCAGUGAAGGUCAGAUGGAAUUAUGUCAUUCCUUAUGGGAAGGCUUGGAGGGCUAAGCAGAAGGCUAUGGAGGAAAGGUUUGGGACGUUCUUCGAAUCAUAUGAUAAUGUUGUCCGUCUCCUUGGCAUACUAAAGGAGAGGAAUCCCGGCACUUAUGUGAACGUACAACACAUGAGGUUGCUGACAUACUCUCUCCGUUCCUAA